rnacentral:lncRNA from 1 species
UGUAACUUCUUGAAGUAGUUUCCUCCGUUUUGAAAGAGGAGGCUCCUGGGUAGUGAGCUGAAGUGGCGGACCACCAGCUUCAGAGGAAGACACAUGAAAGAGGCAAGGACUUCACGUAUAGCCUGGCACCUUGUUAGGCUGCCCAUGCAUUGUCUCCCCAGAAGUAUACCUGCAACCACCUAAGAGCCCAAGCCUGUAAGAUCUGAAACCUUUUGCACAGUAUGUGGUUGGCUGAGGGACCAGAGAAGCCAGCUGUGCAGCUCAGUUCCUCUCUCUUCACAAGCAGAGUUUCCUAGUUGAGGUGCUUUCCUCCUCCUCUAUCUUCAGCUGCUCCAAAGGAUGCCUGGAACAAAACGGCCUUCAAAUGCUUCUCUCUG